GUGGAUUAGAUACCCUGGUAGUCCUAGCCGUAAACGGUGUGAACUUGGUGUGGGAGGAAUUAUCCCCUUCCGUGCCGUAGCUAACGCGAUAAGUUCACCGCCUGGGGAGUACGGCCGCAAGGCUAAAACUCAAAGGAAUUGACGGGGGCCCGCACAAGCGGUGGAGCAUGUGGCUUAAUUCGAUGCAACGCGAAGAACCUUACCUGGGCUUGACAUGUAACUGCAAAUCCGGUGAAAGCCGGACUCCUUCGAGGGUGUUACACAGGUGCUGCACGGCCGUCGACAACU
rnacentral:rRNA from 1 species